GCUCAUCUGUCGUCGCGCCCAGCAUGAGUGUCGCCCCUCGGUUCUCCCUUGUCCAGAACCGGAGAGGAGCCCCUCCCCGUGCUUCUUAUCCUCCCUCGCCUCCAGCACACCGCCGCCAGUCGACGCCCUCGCCGGUGAGACUCCACCGCCGCCCGUCUCGUUCUACUCUUCUCUAUUUUUUCAUUCCUCCCUGGCCUCUCUUUCUUCUCUGGACAUGGCCGUGGAGUUCCAACCCCGCCGCGUCAUGGAUGCCCUGCGCCGCCCUCGUUGGAACCCCUCCAACCACGCCCGGAUCCGGCACCGCGCUGACCGGAUCCGUCGAUUCUCGGUGCCCACGUCGCCCGCCGCCCAUCUCUGGAGCCCCGCAAGUCCUGCCGCAAUCGGCCUCCUGCUCGUGCGAGCACUCGAGCAGAGAGACGAAAGUCAGUGCCCGCUCGGGUCGCGUUGACCGCUGGCCAGCUCGCGUGGGCCCCAUCUCCAUCGACCGCGCCAGUCCACCUCUUCGCCAGCCCACCUCGACUUUAGCCUGGCAGCCCGUCUGCCCCGACUGGCCUCAAGGCCCAAUUUGUGGUCUUCUUGAUAGUUCCCUAUAAGGAUGCGAUUGUGAGGAUUCGUUCGACUACGCUCGUUCGUCUUCUUCAUGGAUUCGGUCUUCUUCCUAACGGGAUUUCAGGCAAGAUGACCAUUACCUUGGAUAUCACUAAUAUCUUUGCUUGCUAGUUGUCUCGAUGCUAUCGCUAUGUCUCGUUACCUACCACUUGUUUGUUAAGCCUCACAAAUUGCCAUGAUACAACCUUUAACCUACACCAUCCCAGCAAAUCAUUGUUUGGCUAUGUUACAACUUUGCUCAACCCCUCUUAUAAGAUUGCUAGUUGCAGGUGCAAUGCAGUUUGUUCCAUGUUGGGACAUGGAUAUGAUGUGAUAUUGUAAUAUUUCUUAUUUAACUAAUGCAUCUAUAUACUCGGUACAGGGUGGAAAGCUCGGCCUUUUGCUU